rnacentral:rRNA from 1 species
UGGCCCAGGUGAGACGCCCGGUCCCAUUCCGAACCCGGAAGCUAAGGCCUGGCACGGCGAUGGUACUGCACCCGACAGGGUGUGGGAGAGUAGCA